rnacentral:rRNA from 1 species
CCUACGGGUGGCAGCAGUGAGGAAUAUUGGUCAAUGGCCGGAAGCCUGAACCAGCCAAGCCGCGUGAAGGAUGAAGGUUCCAUGCAUUGUAAACUUCUUUUGUCUGGGGACAAAGUGAGGCACGUGUUCCUUUCCGUAUGUACUUUAUGAAUAAGCAUCGGCUAACUCCGUGCCAGCAGCCGCGGUAAUACGGAGGAUGCGAGCGUUAUCCGGAUUUAUUGGGUUUAAAGGGUGCGUAGGCGGGAAUUUAAGUCAGCGGUAAAAGUCCGGGGCUCAACCCAGACGUGCCGUUGAAACUGGCUGACUGGAGAUGUCGAGAGGUAGGCGGAAUGCGUGGGGUAGCGGGG